rnacentral:rRNA from 1 species
UACGGGGGGGGGCGAGCGUUAUUCAGAAUGACUGGGCGUAAAGGGUACGUAGGCGGUCUAUUAAGUUGAAGGUAAAAGCCCAGAGCUCAACUCUGGAAAACCCUUCAAAACUGAUAUGACUUGAGUACGAGAGAGGAUAGUAGAAUUUCUAGUGUAGGGAUGAAAUAUGAAAAUAUUAGAAGGAAUACCAAAGGCGAAGGCAACUAUCUGGAUCGAUACUGACGCUGAGGUACGAAAAGUAUGGGGAGCAAACAGG